CUUGGUUGGCCCAGUCCUUGGCUUGCUUUUACCAGCAAUCCUGGGAAGAAGAACUUGUUUAAUGCCAUUCUGACUACAAAAGGGAUAAUUCUGGAAGAGGAAGGCACCUGAGAAACUGUGCAUUCAAUUAUUUAAAGUAUUCAUUGUUCUACACCUGUCUACGAAUGACUGAAAAAUAACCACAAGUACUCACAAUGGAGUUACACAUCUGACAAAUGCAAAGAGCACCUCCUUUUUCAAAUUAAGAAAACCAAGAAGACACAUUCUGGGGAAGCAGUAUGUCCAUUACAUUCAUGUCCAAAUGCAUAAUUCUGGGCAGAUGCUGCUAUAUUGCACAUACCUUGAUAAAUAAAGAAAUAUGAGAAGGCAUCAAGUUAAAUACAAUGAACAUUUAAUGAUGUUUUACCUACAAAUAAGAGGAGUGUAAGUGGAACGGGAACCUGCAGAUCUGCAAAUCAGACUGGAAGCUGUGGCCAAGCCCAGGGCAUCAGGGCAAGGA